CUUCCGCUUUAUGCUGAGCUCAACAGUUCCAAACUUUGACAUUCACGGCUGUAGCCCCAUUCACUUCCAUUGCUUUCUGCCUGAUAUUGUCAGUGAUGCUGAAAGUGACAUGACAAGAGGACAUUGGCUGUCUUUAGGGACCGGGUUGACAAGUGGUUAUUGGAGUGAUUGAGUGGUGGUUGGAGUGAGGAAUAGGCUGCUAGAGGCUGCUGGAGCAACAAGACUCCCUGAAGCUGAGAUUGGAAAGGGCAGGCCAAGUACUUCCAUGGCAACAAGCAAGUUUUAGGUCAUGGCAUGAAGGCAGUGUGCUGUGCAGGAGCAUGGCCUCUCUCUGUAGUAGUGCCACUGCAUUGGCUGACUCCAUAAGGGAAUCGGUCGUCCUUGCCCGGAACAACUGCUCCACUUUGCUGAUGAGAUCGAAGGCCUCUUGUGAUGGACGGUAAAGGGCACCUCUCUUGAACUCCUUCAGUUGUAGCAGUACGCUACAUUUGCUAGUAGCACCAUCAUUGCUAUUGUCUGCAACAGCAUGCUGGCAUUCCUCACAACGCGAGUUACUGAUUACCCUCUUAACAAUAUAUCCUGCAAGGUAAUAUAAUACACAGGCAUCUGUUUUGGUUAAGGUAGGUGUUGCUGGGUCUAUCAGUUCCUCCAGCCUCAGACCAGGACUGCAGAUGGUGUCGAACCAGUGGUCUACCUUCUCAAGGAACCAAGAUGUUGUGAGGUAAGACUGUGGCCGUUGCUCCUCCUCAGCCAGGUAUUUCAGGCCAGCACUGGUCGCUCUACUGAAGACGUGUAUGGCAGGUGACAAUGACACCGAGAUUGAAUAAAUAUGUGCUGUUGGGGUCAGAUCUUUGAAAAGUUGGGAUCUCAUUUGUCUGCUGCAUUGAAGUUGGUCAACAACAAAAAUGGGAAUGAUUUUGCAGUCAUGAAGGAUAAAUUGGUAUGUACUGUGAUAGUAUGUACUGUGUCUCUGUGUUAAGGGCUGUUCACACCAGGAACUGUAACGAUAAAUGCGUCCACACUGACCAACAAUAACAAAAGUCUCUCCUUGUGUUGAUGAAUUUGCUGGCUAAAGUUCAAUGGAUUCUGAUUGCCUGUCAGCUUUUUAUUCUCAAAAUAACUCUUGACAGAUAUAGUUGGGAAUCACAUUUUUAGUGUUAUCA